GGGGAUGACCGGUUUCGACAGGGCCGUAGGUGCGAGGAUUGCAGGCCGAGGUCGCCCCGGGACUCGUAAAAAGGGGCAACCAAGUAACUGGCGAGCGCGAACUCGCUCUGGCUGCGUAAGUAAACGCGGCCACGUCUGCCCGGACCUCUCCCUGGCGGGUCCGGAGCGGGCGUCGCAAAGCCGAGGGUGCCGCUAGCCCAAGCGCCGGUGCGGGCUAGCGUAAGACUGAUCCGGCUGGUCCGGGCGAGACCCUGUCGGUGGGGGCUCACCGGCGAGAGCCAAAACACCGACUAAGCCUGUAGUAGAUCCUUGGCCGAACGCUCUGGACGGGGGUUCGACUCCCCCCAUCUCCACUA
rnacentral:tmRNA from 1 species